rnacentral:rRNA from 1 species
CGAGUGGCGGACGGGUGAGUAAUGUCUGGGAAACUGCCUGAUGGAGGGGGAUAACUACUGGAAACGGUAGCUAAUACCGCAUAACGUCGCAAGACCAAAGAGGGGGACCCUCGGGCCUCUUGCCAUCGGAUGUGCCCAGAUGGGAUUAGCUAGUAGGUGGGGUAAAGGCUCACCUAGGCGACGAUCCCUAGCUGGUCUGAGAGGAUGACCAGCCACACUGGAACUGAGACACGGUCCAAACUCCUACGGGAGGCAGCAUG